AGUAACGCGUGAGGAACCUGCCUUCCAGAGGGGGACAACAGUUGGAAACGACUGCUAAUACCGCAUAAUGUGUUGUGAUGGCAUCAUUGCAACACCAAAGAUUUAUCGCUGGAAGAUGGCCUCGCGUCUGAUUAGCUAGUAGGCGGGGUAACGGCCCACCUAGGCGACGAUCAGUAGCCGGCCUGAGAGGGUGAACGGCCACAUUGGGACUGAGACACGGCCCAAACUCCUACGGAAGGCAGCAG
rnacentral:rRNA from 1 species